ACUCGACGCCGCAAUUGUCAAAAGCGGCGUGUUAGUAUGCUUUAUUAUGAAUGAUGUGUGUAAAAGUGAGUUUUUAUGUUGUUUAUUUGGAGGAAAUGGUUGGAAUAAAUUAAGUUAUUUUUAUUUCUGUUGGUUGGAGUUUUUAUUCAAAAGAUUUCGGUCUAUACCAUUGAUAUUUACUGAAAAUACCUUCGCUUGAAUAAAUUGCAGAUAUUUGGCAACUGAAGUGUUAGGUAAGCCUAAAUGAUAUGUAAAAAGAGCCCGAGAACGAUACAAUGGAGCUGCUGAAGCCGCUGUCAAGACAGUCAAGCGAAUGAUGAAGAGGAGCAGAGCCGCAGGAGAGGACCCGUACCUGGGUCUCCUGAACCUCAGGAAUACCCCACAAGAAGGGAUGGACACGAGCCCGGCACAGCGUCUGAUGAGCCGACGGACAAGGACAGGAGUGCCAACGUCUAAAGCACUUCUCCAGCCCAAGCAGAACAUCAACCAGAAACAGCGACUGGAAGCCAGGAAAGCUGCCGCAAACGACAGGCACACCGGCAGGCGAGAACUGCGACCCCUACAAGUGGGGGAACCGGUCCGAAUGCAGCCAAUCGACGGCAGAAACUCGUGGAAGAAGGCUGUCGUGACUAGCAUGCUCAAGCCGAGGAGCUAUGAAGUAGAAAGUGAAGACGGUGUCAUCUACCGUCGAAACCGUCAGUUCCUACGAGCUACGCAGCCGACGACGCCACAGCAGCGCCACACGACAGCCCAGGCAGCAACAAGGAACGGGGCGGAACAUCAGCCUACUCCGACGCGAGCCACCACGAGCGAGCAACCGGCCGCGCAUUCCGAGCCAGUUGGAGAGAGCGCUGUCGCCUCCAACUGCACCAGGUCAGGGCGACGUGUCCGUCCUCCUCUCAAGCUGAACCUGUAGUGGUUCAAACUUAAAGGAGAGGGAUGUUACGUGAUGCACGUAAUAUGGCAGUGUUUUAGUGUGUGAUUACUUGCCUGUCACAGAUGCGCCAAAAGUGUAACGUUUGGUUCCCGCUCGAAUCUUUGUUUUUGUCUUGAUCUCCCCGCUAUGCUAAAUGCUCUGAGAUAAUAGAAUUCGCUGUUGAA